rnacentral:lncRNA from 1 species
GCAGCAGCCCCGCGUCCUGGCUCCGAGCCCGCGGUUAACGCUUAACCAAGCUCCGGGAGCCCGAAGCUCGAGCCGCACCCCCCGCCCCUAGCCUUUGGCCCCGCCCGCCCAAAUGAGGGGUGGCGGCGAAGGAGGAGGGGGAGUCCCAGAGGCCUGCGCCGCCCUGCUUUGCCCCCCGCGCUCCGACUGGGGCGCUCUGGGCUGGGCUCGGGGGCGGUGGGUUUGGGGCGUCGACGCCUUCCUACCUGGCGCCGACGUGUGGGCCAGACCCUCCCGAGGGCCGGGGGUGGGGUCCGGGAGCGCGUUCUCUCGGGCUGUCAGCUGCGCGCGCGCGCGCGGCGGUUCAAUAGAGGUAUCCGGUGUUCAGGGAGAGAGGGGGGAAGGGAGUAACGCUGGGGCGCCAGGGGACGCCGAGGCGGAGGGCGGCCCUUCGGGCAUUCCUGCCUUGCAGAUGGGGGACCCUGAAGUCCUCCGAGGUAAGGGAGAAAGGAGGCAAAGAUGGUGCCUGGUGGUCACCUGGACGCCCUGCUGUCACUGGGAAACAGGGGACAGGCCAGGAGAGCAGGAAGGUUCUGGCUUCUGUGCCCAGCAGGCUGAGAUUUGCCUCAUUGCUUCUCACUGAAAGCAAAGCUAGAAACAGCAAGACUGCAAUCCAUCCAAGGCCACCAGUGAGGGACUCCAGAUGCCGUGGGCACCUCGCAGCAGCUCCCUGGGUGGGCACAGAGCCAACUCCACAGGGCGGGCCCAGCCCGCAGGAACCGGACGCGGGAGACCGAGCUUCCACCCUUCGCCCUCGGUUCUGACUGAAAUUUUAACCCAGGAAGCUAUAUUAAUGAUGACUUAAAAACUAAAAAAAAAAAAAAGUGACAAAAUGUUCCGUUUUCUGAUGGGGGCAGUCAGCAUGUGACAAGGGAGUGUCCCGCACAGCCUGAGGACACAGGGCACCACGGCCGGGCUGGGGUCUGAGCUGGUGCCUGGGGCUUGAAGCGGAGUGGGCAGACCCCCUUUCCAGAUGAAUAGGAGAGAUAAAGCCGGGGUGCAGUGGGGCAGGGGCUCCCCCGAUCCCAGCCGGGCCCCCGGCCCCAGGCCCUGCUGCCCUCUGAUGCCCCUGGACCCAGCAGCCUCCAGCAGGGGUGGGCUGGAACCAGCCUCCUGAAGCCCACACCCGGUUCUUCAGGAGCCAUAGGUCUGGGUUCCCUGGUUGAAUUCACACAAGCUGGGACCUGGGACCCCGACUGUCCCUUUGCCUUUGCCGCCAGUGUCACGUGCCUUUGCCGCCAGUGCCAGCAAGAAACCUCAGUGGUGACCCGUGACUCCUGACACAAAGGUGACAGACACAGGCUCAGGUUCCUUCCUGAGCGGGGCAGGGCCUUCUUUCCUUCCCCGUCCGUCCUGCCCUGCCGGCCCCUGCUGGUGACCAGGACCUGGGCCUUCCUGGGGGGCCUUCCCGUUGUGUGUGUUGGCUGCAUGGCUGCCCCGACCAGUGCAAGCCACCCAGCCCCGGCCAGGUCGAGAAUGGUCUGCAGGCCUGGGCCCCCCUGGCCCCACCGGGAGCGUCCUGGAGGGGGCUCGUCUGCGCCUGGGAGCCAGCCCUGUGCACUCAGGGACAGGAGGCAGGUGGCCCAGACAGGCCCUCCCCUCGGCCCCCGCGCUCCCCAUCAGAGGCUGGGGGGCCCCUGGCCGCUCUCCCCGGUCCUCUGGGCGCAGCCUCAGGGCGAGGUAAUUAUCUGCAGACAGCAGGAGGGCCAGUCCGCAAAGUCUGAGCUGCAUUGUGCCCACGUUUAAUUAUUCGGCCGCUGAGCGGCAGCUGCCAGCACCGCUCCAGCCUGAGGGGCGCUGGUUGGGAGCAGCAGAUGCUGGGUUGUGGCAGGACAGUCGUCAGCCCCAGCAGGGCUCAAACCUCGGGGCAGAGAGGGAGGGGCUGUGUCCCCAUAACCCCUGCGCCCGCACCCCACGCAGAAGUCAGCCCUACCAAGGCAACCCAAGAAUGGGUGGGCAGGGCAGUGGCCGCAGGUCACCAGAUUCCUGCCCUUGCCCCUCCCCCAUUCAUUCCCCCCUUCUUACUCUCCUCCCCCAUGCCUGCCCUCCCCAUGCUUGCCCACCUUGCUCUGCGCCCCCAUCCACACUUUUUAUUUUAAAUGGCCUUUUAUUUUAAUGCACAGAAUGGGAUUUUUGCUUCAUCUCUCAGAUUUGUUUUUUGUUUUUAACUACAUUUAUUUCCUUUGUGUACUUUUUUUUUUUAGGGCCGUACCCGCGUCAUAUGGAGGUUCCCAGGCUAGGGGUCUAAUUGGAGCUAUAGCCACUGGCCUACACCACAGCCACAGCAAUGCCGGAUCUGAGCUGAGCUUGCAACCUACACCACAGCUCACAGCGAUGCCGGAUCUUUAACCCACUGAGCGAGGCCAGGGAUCAAACCCGCAACCUUGUAGUUCCUGGCUGGAUUCAUUUCCGCUGCACCACGACGGGAACUCCUCCUUCAUGUCUUUUAACUCACUUACCUGUGCUUUUUCUACAGCUGUGAAAUUUGAAUAAAGUCAUCAUAUUUUAAAAUGCA